AAAUGAGCUGUGAGUACUGAGUACGCAUGAAACGCCGGGCAAGUGCAAAGGUUUUUGCAAGCAUUGAAAAUAUGUUGAUAGUCGAACAGAUAGGAUAUACAGUGCAUACAUAAAACAAUAAAUAAAUAAAUAAACAAAAAACUGAUUGGAAUACGAAGAUUACGAGUAAAUAAAAUACAUACAUACUUCAUAAAUAAAACUUUAUUAAAUAUUUGAAUGCAAUGCGCCGAAGAAGGUAAUACGCGUUUCGAAAAAGUACUAGAAGGCCGAGACGUACAUAUGUAUGUACUCGUAUAUAUGUAUGAAAAUGAAAUGCAAAAGUUGAAAGCGAAAGUCAGGAGUGCAGUGGCCAACAACACAAGACAACAAAGCAACAAAAUAAAUAUACAUACAUAUAUGAAUGUGUGUGUGUAUAAAUGAGAUUGAGAACUGAGAGAUAAGACUCAUAAGAGCAUAAAUAAACUCGAAUAUACUCAUGAUUUAUGGCACUUGUAGCACGUACUAAAUAUGUAAAUUUCGCACGUGAAUAACAUUACUGGCUGUAUACCGCCAACGUUGUCGACACUGAAGUGAUUUUAGUUUUUAAUCUAUAUAUAUAUUUACAAAUUUACAUACUUUCUUACAUCCAUAAAUAUAUACGAAUAAAUGAACAUCUGGGAGUACUACUAAGUAUAUCAGCUGUGGUGCAUCUGAACGAAAUUAAUUGGGAGUAUCUUAAGUCCGUACACGAGCCGAAUGUCAGAAGAGAGAAAAUGGAAAAAAUAAACAUCUUACUGCCAGAAUCAGCGAGCAGGGUGAUAUUAGCACAAAAAUGAGAUACAAAUACAAAACAGAGAGCGGAGGACAACCAACCAACCAACCAACCAACCAACCAACCAACCGAACGACCAACCAUUGAGCUAAGGCAGGCGCGGUGGGAUUCGUUAUACCAGCGAGCCAUACACCCGUCAAGUUGCGAUACGACCUUGCAAUACCCUUGAAUGACACUCUUUAUUGUGCGCACCGUGUCCAAGAUGACGACGAGCACAAAAGCGACGCAACGGUAGAAGAAGUCGAAAUAUUAAAAGUGAACUUUUGUGUGUUUUUGUCUUUUCGUGUGUAGUUCACGCGUUCGCUUUUCGUUUAUUAAAAACAAAAUAUAAUAGCUGGCAAAAAAAAAUAAAAAUAAUAAAAAUUCUCCUAAAUGUGAAGAAAAUAAAUAUCAAUUUAAAUCAAUUCAAAUAAAAUGUUCUGCAAUGCAUUAAGCAACAACAACAGCAAGAAACCAUACCAAAUAUACGAUCGCAACGUCGACUGUCUGGCUUAAAUCUGUGACAUUUCACUAACGAAAUUUUACGCAAGGUCAAAGCAAAAAUUGUAAGGUGGAAUGGCAUAAAAACCC